GACGAACGCUGGCGGCGUGCUUAACACAUGCAAGUCGAGCGGAGCGGCGAACGGGUGAGUAACGCGUGAGUAACUGCCCCCCUCUCUGGGAUAACAGUUGGAAACGGCUGCUAAUACCGGAUAGUGGGGGAUGACUCGCGUCCUAUCAGCUUGUUGGUGGGGUAGUGGCCUACCAAGUCGACGACGGGUAGCCGGCCUGAGAGGGCGACCGGCCACAUUGGGCUGAGAUACGGCCUGAACCUCUACGGUAGGCAGCAGGGGGGAAUAUUGCAACAUCGGGGAAACGAUGAUGCAGCAACGCGCGUGCGGGAUGACGGCCUUCGGGUGGUAAACCGCUUUCAUCCAUGACGCGGUAGUGGCAGAAGAAGCACCGGCUAACUACGUGCCAGCAGCCGCGGUAAUUC
rnacentral:rRNA from 1 species